CGAUGAACCACUUCGGUGGGGAUUAGUGGCGAACGGGUGAGUAACACGUGGGCAAUCUGCCCUUCACUCUGGGACAAGCCCUGGAAACGGGGUCUAAUACCGGAUACCACUCUCACGGGCAUCUGUGAGGGUUGAAAGCUCCGGCGGUGAAGGAUGAGCCCGCGGCCUAUCAGCUUGUUGGUGAGGUAACGGCUCACCAAGGCGACGACGGGUAGCCGGCCUGAGAGGGCGACCGGCCACACUGGGACUGAGACACGGCCCAGACUCCUACGGGAGGCAGCAGUGGGGAAUAUUGCACAAUGGGCGAAAGCCUGAUGCAGCGACGCCGCGUGAGGGAUGACGGCCUUCGGGUUGUAAACCUCUUUCAGCAGGGAAGAAGCGAAAGUGACGGUACCUGCAGAAGAAGCGCCGGCUAACUACGUGCCAGCAGCCGCGGUAAUACGUAGGGCGCAAGCGUUGUCCGGAAUUAUUGGGCGUAAAGAGCUCGUAGGCGGCUUGUCACGUCGGGUGUGAAAGCCCGGGGCUUAACCCCGGGUCUGCAUUCGAUACGGGCUAGCUAGAGUGUGGUAGGGGAGAUCGGAAUUCCUGGUGUAGCGGUGAAAUGCGCAGAUAUCAGGAGGAACACCGGUGGCGAAGGCGGAUCUCUGGGCCAUUACUGACGCUGAGGAGCGAAAGCGUGGGGAGCGAAC
rnacentral:rRNA from 1 species